UACGGAGGGUGCGAGCGUUGUCCGGAAUCACUGGGCGUAAAGGGCGCGUAGGCGGCUACUUAAGCGUGUGGUGAAAGUCCGGGGCUCAACCCCGGAUCGGCCGUGCGAACUGAGUGGCUCGAGCACUGUAGAGGCAGGUGGAAUUCCGGGUGUAGCGGUGGAAUGCGUAGAGAUCCGGAGGAACACCAGCGGCGAAGGCGGCAUCCUGGACUGGUCCUGACACUCAGGAGCGAAAGCGUGGGGAGCGAUCCGG
rnacentral:rRNA from 1 species